rnacentral:rRNA from 2 species
GGUUAAGCGACUAAGCGUACACGGUGGAUGCCCUGGCAGUCAGAGGCGAUGAAGGGCGUGCUAAUCUGCGAUAAGCGCCGGUAAGGUGAUAUGAACCGUUAUAACCGGCGAUACCCGAAUGGGGAAACCCAGUGUGACUCGUCACACUAUCAUUAACUGAAUCCAUAGGUUAAUGAGGCGAACCGGGGGAACUGAAACAUCUAAGUACCCCGAGGAAAAGAAAUCAACCGAGAUUCCCCCAGUAGCGGCGAGCGAACGGGGAGGAGCCCAGAGCCUGAAUCAGCAUGUGUGUUAGUGGAAGCGUCUGGAAAGGCGCGCGAUACAGGGUGACAGCCCCGUACACAAAAGCGCAUGUGCUGUGAGCUCGAUGAGUAGGGCGGGACACGUGGUAUCCUGUCUGAAUAUGGGGGGACCAUCCUCCAAGGCUAAAUACUCCUGACUGACCGAUAGUGAACCAGUACCGUGAGGGAAAGGCGAAAAGAACCCCGGCGAGGGGAGUGAAAAAGAACCUGAAACCGUGUACGUACAAGCAGUGGGAGCCCCACCACCAAAGCAUUCUCUGGUGUUGAAGGCCCUGCAAAGCAGCAUCGCGGUGGCGGAGCGUCGUUUGCGACGCCCAACACACAAAACAAGCGGUGAGUGCUUUGGGGUGGGGUGACUGCGUACCUUUUGUAUAAUGGGUCAGCGACUUAUAUUCUGUAGCAAGGUUAACCGAAUAGGGGAGCCGGAGGGAAACCGAGUCUUAAUUGGGCGUUAAGUUGCAGGGUAUAGACCCGAAACCCGGUGAUCUAGCCAUGGGCAGGUUGAAGGUUGGGUAACACUAACUGGAGGACCGAACCGACUAAUGUUGAAAAAUUAGCGGAUGACCUGUGGCUGGGGGUGAAAGGCCAAUCAAACCGGGAGAUAGCUGGUUCUCCCCGAAAGCUAUUUAGGUAGCGCCUCGUGAAUUCAUCUCCGGGGGUAGAGCACUGUUUCGGCUAGGGGGCCAUCCCGGCUUACCAACCCGAUGCAAACUGCGAAUACCGGAGAAUGUUAUCACGGGAGACACACGGCGGGUGCUAACGUCCGUCGUGAAGAGGGAAACAACCCAGACCGCCAGCUAAGGUCCCAAAGUCAUGGUUAAGUGGGAAACGAUGUGGGAAGGCCCAGACAGCCAGGAUGUUGGCUUAGAAGCAGCCAUCAUUUAAAGAAAGCGUAAUAGCUCACUGGUCGAGUCGGCCUGCGCGGAAGAUGUAACGGGGCUAAACCAUGCACCGAAGCUGCGGCAGCGACGCUGAUGCGUUGUUGGGUAGGGGAGCGUUCUGUAAGCCUGCGAAGGUGACCUGUGAGGGUUGCUGGAGGUAUCAGAAGUGCGAAUGCUGACAUAAGUAACGAUAAAGCGGGUGAAAAGCCCGCUCGCCGGAAGACCAAGGGUUCCUGUCCAACGUUAAUCGGGGCAGGGUGAGUCGACCCCUAAGGCGAGGCCGAAAGGCGUAGUCGAUGGGAAACGGGUUAAUAUUCCCGUACUUGGUGUUACUGCGAAGGGGGGACGGAGAAGGCUAUGUUGGCCGGGCGACGGUUGUCCCGGUUUAAGCGUGUAGGUGUGUGUUCCAGGUAAAUCCGGUUCACUUUAACACUGAGGCGUGAUGACGAGGCACUACGGUGCUGAAGCAACAAAUGCCCUGCUUCCAGGAAAAGCCUCUAAGCAUCAGGUAACAUCAAAUCGUACCCCAAACCGACACAGGUGGUCAGGUAGAGAAUACCAAGGCGCUUGAGAGAACUCGGGUGAAGGAACUAGGCAAAAUGGUGCCGUAACUUCGGGAGAAGGCACGCUGACACGUAGGUGAAGUGAUUUACUCACGGAGCUGAAGUCAGUCGAAGAUACCAGCUGGCUGCAACUGUUUAUUAAAAACACAGCACUGUGCAAACACGAAAGUGGACGUAUACGGUGUGACGCCUGCCCGGUGCCGGAAGGUUAAUUGAUGGGGUCAGCGCAAGCGAAGCUCCUGAUCGAAGCCCCGGUAAACGGCGGCCGUAACUAUAACGGUCCUAAGGUAGCGAAAUUCCUUGUCGGGUAAGUUCCGACCUGCACGAAUGGCGUAAUGAUGGCCAGGCUGUCUCCACCCGAGACUCAGUGAAAUUGAACUCGCUGUGAAGAUGCAGUGUACCCGCGGCAAGACGGAAAGACCCCGUGAACCUUUACUAUAGCUUGACACUGAACAUUGAGCCUUGAUGUGUAGGAUAGGUGGGAGGCUUUGAAGUGUGGACGCCAGUCUGCAUGGAGCCGACCUUGAAAUACCACCCUUUAAUGUUUGAUGUUCUAACGUGGACCCGUAAUCCGGGUUGCGGACAGUGUCUGGUGGGUAGUUUGACUGGGGCGGUCUCCUCCUAAAGAGUAACGGAGGAGCACGAAGGUUGGCUAAUCCUGGUCGGACAUCAGGAGGUUAGUGCAAUGGCAUAAGCCAGCUUGACUGCGAGCGUGACGGCGCGAGCAGGUGCGAAAGCAGGUCAUAGUGAUCCGGUGGUUCUGAAUGGAAGGGCCAUCGCUCAACGGAUAAAAGGUACUCCGGGGAUAACAGGCUGAUACCGCCCAAGAGUUCAUAUCGACGGCGGUGUUUGGCACCUCGAUGUCGGCUCAUCACAUCCUGGGGCUGAAGUAGGUCCCAAGGGUAUGGCUGUUCGCCAUUUAAAGUGGUACGCGAGCUGGGUUUAGAACGUCGUGAGACAGUUCGGUCCCUAUCUGCCGUGGGCGCUGGAGAACUGAGGGGGGCUGCUCCUAGUACGAGAGGACCGGAGUGGACGCAUCACUGGUGUUCGGGUUGUCAUGCCAAUGGCACUGCCCGGUAGCUAAAUGCGGAAGAGAUAAGUGCUGAAAGCAUCUAAGCACGAAACUUGCCCCGAGAUGAGUUCUCCCUGAGACUUUAGGUCUCCUGAAGGAACGUUGAAGACGACGACGUUGAUAGGCCGGGUGUGUAAGCGCAGCGAUGCGUUGAGCUAACCGGUACUAAUGAACCGUGAGGCUUAACCUU